AUUGAACGCUGGCGGCAUGCUUUACACAUGCAAGUCGAACGGCAGCACGGGUGCUUGCACUUGGUGGCGAGUGGCGGACGGGUGAGUAAUACAUCGGAACGUAUCCUAAAGUGGGGGAUAACGCAUCGAAAGAUGUGCUAAUACCGCAUACACUCUGAGGAGGAAAGUAGGGGAUCGAAAGACCUUAUGCUUUUGGAGCGGCCGAUGUCUGAUUAGCUAGUUGGUAAGGUAAUGGCUUACCAAGGCAACGAUCAGUAGUUGGUCUGAGAGGACGACCAGCCACACUGGGACUGAGACACGGCCCAGACUCCUACGGGAGGCAGCAGUGGGGAAUUUUGGACAAUGGGCGCAAGCCUGAUCCAGCAAUGCCGCGUGAGUGAAGAAGGCCUCGGUUGUUAAAGCUCUUUCAGUUGAGAAGAAAAGAAUUAGUGACUAAUAAUUAGUCAAUUCAAUGACGGUAUCAACAGAAGAAGACACCGGACUAACUAACG
rnacentral:rRNA from 1 species